GCCACUACCAUAGCCGCGAGUAGGGGGAGGCGGGGCUCUGACAGUGAUUGACAUCGGCAGGGCGGGGCCACUACCAUAGCCGCGAGUAGGGGGAGGCGGGGCUCUGACAGUGAUUGACAGCAGGAGGGCGGGGAAGUUAAAUAGUAACGGUUAGUGACGUCAAUGUGUGGAGAGAUAGCUAUGAGUGACGUAGAGGAAGAUGAGGUAAUUAGGGACAUUACUUCAUAACAUUAUCUGAAAAUCACAUCGUCCUCAAUAGGUAUAACC